AGGGAAAGAGGGGGGUAGGCCUAACACAUGCAAGUCGAACGGCAGCACAGUAAGAGCUUGCUCUUACGGGUGGCGAGUGGCGGACGGGUGAGGAAUACAUCGGAAUCUACUUUUUCGUGGGGGAUAACGUAGGGAAACUUACGCUAAUACCGCAUACGACCUACGGGUGAAAGCAGGGGAUCUUCGGACCUUGCGCGAUUGAAUGAGCCGAUGUCGGAUUAGCUAGUUGGCGGGGUAAAGGCCCACCAAGGCGACGAUCCGUAGCUGGUCUGAGAGGAUGAUCAGCCACACUGGAACUGAGACACGGUCCAGACUCCUACGGGAGGCAGCAGUGGGGAAUAUUGGACAAUGGGCGCAAGCCUGAUCCAGCCAUACCGCGUGGGUGAAGAAGGCCUUCGGGUUGUAAAGCCCUUUUGUUGGGAAAGAAAAGCAGCAGGUUAAUACCCCGCUGUUCUGACGGUACCCAAAGAGUAAGCACCGGCUAACUUCGUG
rnacentral:rRNA from 1 species